rnacentral:lncRNA from 1 species
AAUUCGGAUGGGGCCUACUUGCAAUAGGAGCUCAGGGCUGGAGUCCGGCUCCCGUAGGAGCUCGGACGAAGUCCGGAAGGCGGUCGACCGUCGUAGAAACUUGGAUGGAGUCCGUCCGUCGUGGAGAUCUACUGUUGGGAAAGUUCGGCCACUUACGAACUGACAAAGUUCUGGAAGAAAUUCGGAUUGGAGUCGAUCGAAUCCUGUUGGAAAAAAAUCUGGAAGAGGUCCG